GACAGAGGUGCCGAGCGUUAGGCGGAAUCACUGGGCUUAAAGCGUGUGUAGGCGGACUUCUAAGUACCUUGUGAAAUCCCAUGGCUCAACCAUGGAACUGCUCGGUAUACUGGUUGUCUUGAGCCACUUAGGGGCAGUCGGAACAGACGGUGGAGCGGUGAAAUGCGUAGAUAUCGUCUGGAACGCCAAAGGUGAAAACAGACUGCUGGGAAUGUGCUGACGCUGAGACACGAAAGCCAGGGGAGCAAACGGG
rnacentral:rRNA from 1 species